UUCACACAACUUACUAUAAACAUGUGUUAUUGGUCAGUGAUCGGUCAAGUGCAACAUUACUUUUGCCCUACUGUUUUCAUAAUAACCAGUGUUAAACUCACCUAUCUUAUAUAAAAGAAAGUGUGAGAUAAGUGGGGUUUACAACAUGUAAUCUAAUACCCUGAACCAAUCUGGUAUCAGGAUCUGAUCUCAGAAAAUUCAAAUAUUAUACUCAGGAAGAGUUUAUUUGGACCUCAGUGCUUAUAAUUUAAAAAGAUGCUUAGGAGUAGAGUUAAACAUGUGACUAAAGUGCCAUUUAGAUGAAACAACUUUAUAAUGUGAACUUUAAUAAAAUUAUAAUGGGACAUUAAAGGAGUUCUUCAAUCAGAUGGAAAUGGAAAUUUACUACUGUUCAAUGGAAUAAUGGAAAACUUACAAUGCUACACAGGUAUCAUAGAGAGUUUCAAAUUAUAAUGAUGAAGGAAAGAAAAAUGAGGUUGAUUACAGAAAUAAUUGAUGUGUGUACAACAGGCAGUCAAUAAUAUGGAUAGUUGUGUGCAACAGUGAAGCCAUUCUGAAAGACUGAAUCUGUGAAGGACAUGAUUUAUCAUAAAUUAUGGAUACUUAUUUGAAAAAAAAAAAACAAAAAAACAAAAAAAACAGUUAUCUUAAAUAAAUAAUGUUUUGUUUUCUAUUUUCUCAACUUGGUAGACAUUUAUUAUUUUUUGAAUUUGUGUUAUAGAAUUAUUUUUGUUAAGAUGACUUGUAAAUCUAGAAAUAAGUUGAAAUGAAUAAAUUAAUUCUAUUA